GGAAUUUUUAAAGCUGUCCAUGUGAUUCCACUCUUCAGUCCCAGCUCAGAAUUCUGCUCCAAGAUCUCUGCAGACCUUGGGAAGAAAGGCUGAAGGAAGCCUUGCCCAGCAUUGUGCUCUGGGGGUCCAGUGACCGGGCAGCACGUCUGGGGGCUCACCUCCAUCCCCCCUCACCUAACAACACUCUGUGCCGGGGUGCCUGGCCCACAUCUACAAAUGGGUCCACAGGUGAUGCUGAAGCUGCAGCUCUGGAGACCUCACUCGGAGAACCACCGCCCUACAGGAAGCAAAGCCCAGAGAAUUCUUCCUGCUCUGGUAUUGUGGAAAUUUCUAUCAAAUUUCUGUAGCUAGAGACUUUCUCCUGUUAAACUACAGAUAAAUUUAGAAACAGAGAAAGUUAAGUUUGAUAGGGCCUCCCUGGUGGCUCAGACAGUAAAGAAUCUGCCUGCAAUGCAGGAGACCUGAGUUCAAUCCCUGGAUUGGAAAGAUCCCCUGGAGGAGGGCAUGGCAACCCACUCCAGUAUUCUUGACUAGAGAAUCUCAUGGACAGAGGAGCCUGUUAAGCUACAGUCCAUAGGGUCACAAAGAGUCAGAUGUGACUGAGCGACUAAGCAUACAAGUUUGAUAAGUAAUCAAAGCAUUUGAGAAAGGUUCAAUAGGGGAGUGGCACAAAUUCUUUGCUACCAAGAGAAAAGCAUACUGAGAUUUGUUUUUGGAAAAUGAAGGACACAGUUAAUGAUUGCUGUUAGUGUAAACAGAAAGGAUAAACUUUCAAAGUUCAAACUUCUCAUUCGCAGAGG
rnacentral:lncRNA from 1 species